GGCUCGACUCUCCCACCCAAUGUGUACCUACCUCUGUUGCUUUGGCGGGCCGCGGUCCUCCGCACCGGCGCCCUUCGGGGGGCUGGCCAGCGCCCGCCAGAGGACCAUAAAACUCCAGUCAGUGAACUUCGCAGUCUGAAAAACAAGUUAAUAAACUAAAACUUUCAACAACGGAUCUCUUGGUUCUGGCAUCGAUGAAGAACGCAGCGAAAUGCGAUAAGUAAUGUGAAUUGCAGAAUUCAGUGAAUCAUCGAAUCUUUGAACGCACAUUGCGCCCCUUGGUAUUCCGAGGGGCAUGCCUGUUCGAGCGUCAUUUCAACCCUCAAGCUCUGCUUGGUAUUGGGCCUCGUCCUCCACGGACGCGCCUUAAAGACCUCGGCGGUGGCGUCUUGCCUCAAGCGUAGUAGAAAACACCUCGCUUUGGAGCGCACGGCGUCGCCCGCCGGACGAACCUUUGAAUUAUUUCUCAAGGUUGACCUCGGAUCAGGUAGGGAUACCCGCUGAACUUAAGCAUAUCAAUAAGCGGAGGAAAAGAAACCAACAGGGAUUGCCUUAGUAACGGCGAGUGAAGCGGCAAUAGCUCAAAUUUGAAAGCUGGCCCCUUCGGGGUCCGCGUUGUAAUUUGUAGAGGAUGAUUCGGCGAGGGCUCCCGUCUAAGUCCCUUGGAACAGGGCGUCAUAGAGGGUGAGAAUCCCGUAU
rnacentral:rRNA from 1 species